CAAAUCCAAACAAACUUCGAAGAUGCUUCAUCAACAUCAACUGCAGCAAGUGUGGCCAAGAAGGCCAUAAUGCUACUACUUGUGAAAGGAAGAAGCAAGGAAAAAGUGCUCAGGUGAAUGGAGAAGGUGAUCCAAGAGGGCAAACUUCAGCAAAUCCAGGCCAACAACAGUUACAGACAAAUGGAGGAAAUAGGACAAGUGAAACCGAACAGCAAAUCAAGCACACUCUGUACCAAGAGGAAUACAAUCUGCAAGAAAUAUAUAUGUCUGAAUCCAAUACACAAGUCUCAAACCCAAGUUCUUCUUCUACAAGAGCAAGCACAAUGAAAACCAACACCUAGUCGUAUGCCAAGAAGAAUAACAUAUGGAAACCAUAAAGCACUUAGGUUUAAUUGGUCUUGGUACCAUGCAAAGUUUAUUUUACAAACAGAUAAAAAUUGGGAUUAUGUCGUGAAGUGUUGUAGCUUUGUGGCCUUGGUACAAGUUGUAGACUUGGUCACGUUUCGAACCAAUUUUGUGAACUCAUUUUGGCUACUUUUGUUUUGUAUAUCAAUCUCCAGAUAAUGUCUUUUGUCAA